rnacentral:lncRNA from 1 species
CUACAUGGAAAAAUAUUUUUUUUGUUGAGGUUAAAGCUGGGUUAUUAUUUCACUAACUGUUGGUUCAUUGUCAGGUACUAUCUUUAUUAUCCAACUAAUCGAUUGAUUGGAUUUUAAUAAAUUUGAAGAUUAAAUUUAAAACAUAAACCAAUUAAAUUUAUAAAAAAAAUAUUUUUAUUAUAUUUGUUAUUUACUUGUCAGAUUUAUAGAAUUACAGGAAGAGUUUUGUGGACUUUUGUAAAAUUUCCACUCAUUAAGUUUAAUUGGCCAUAUGUACUUUUAUGUAUAUAAAGAAUCAAAGAUAAGUAUAGUUAUAAGAAGUGAUUAUAUUACUGAAGAUUUAACAGAUCCUGGAGUUUAGUUAAAAAAAGACCAGUAUAUUAAAUCUAUUAUUGAUGUAUUAGCAAUGUAUCUGGGUAGGACUUGAAACCUGUUAAAUAAACAUUGUAACACAUCACAGCAAGUGAAUUCAGUACCAUUAAAGCAUAUAAUAUUGUUUUUAUUUGUUUUAUUUAUCAAACUGGAGAUAAUGGCAGUUUUAAAUGACCUUGACUGGCUAUACAGCCCUCCCAGCGAAAAAAUUUCGGCGACAGUUCUGGGGGCCGCGUUUCCCAGACUCUUUCUCACAUUGAAACGCAAAUUUCUUUAGCUAUUUUUUCUACAAUAUUCUGGUCUCACAUCAAAAAUAUAGAUUUAUUUUAAUUUAAGAUUUUUCGGUUUUAGGGACAAGAUUAAAAGACCAAUAUGUAGGAUAAAG